CUACCAGCGGAGAGUGACCUGUGCCAUAUUUCUCUUAACCUCUCAGGUAUUCAAGAAAUGGCAACAUCCAGAAGAAGACGCCAUCUUAUCCAGCACGUUAUGGGUACACUCUGGUGGCUCCCGCCCCUGCAUCCUACGAC